AUACGUAGGGUGCAAGCGUUAAUCGGAAUUACUGGGCGUAAAGCGUGCGCAGGCGGUUUUGUAAGACAGUGGUGAAAUCCCCGGGCUCAACCUGGGAACUGCCAUUGUGACUGCAAGGCUGGAGUGCGGCAGAGGGGGAUGGAAUUCCGCGUGUAGCAGUGAAAUGCGUAGAUAUGCGGAGGAACACCGAUGGCGAAGGCAAUCCCCUGGGCGUGCACUGACGCUCAUGCACGAAAGCGUGGGGAGCAAACAGGAUUAGAUACCCUGGUAGUCCCCGCCCUAAACGAUGUCAACUGGUUGUUGGGGAUUUAUUUUCUCAGUAACGAAGCUAACGCGUGAAGUUGACCGCCUGGGAGUACGGCCGCAAGGUUAAAACUCAAAGGAAUUGACGGGG
rnacentral:rRNA from 1 species